UAGAAGGCUGGGCAGUGCUGGCAGUGGCUGAUCCUUCAGUAAUGGGAAAUUGUGAUUCAGAGGGAUGAGAGGAAGACUAUGGGCAGAGGCUUCUUAUGUUCUGCUAUUUCGUGUUUUUAUCUGACAGUCCUAUCAGGUCUGCUAAUAUCAAUUUGUCUUCCUAGCUCUAAAACCUUUGGCUGAACGACACAACCCAAGUCCGAAAAUUGCCCUAGCUUUAUUUCUUUGCUUUUCUUUUAGGAUCUGGUCGUAAGAUUCGACCGUUCCGUAAUCCAUUGCUGUUGUAAUUGGAAGAAGUUGCAGAAUUCCAGUAUGCACCAUCUUGGGUGAUCACCAAUUCUUACUGCCUGAACGACAAAAAAUUGUUAUUGCUAGAGACUUGGAGUAUCGAGUUACUACUGUCCAAGAGCUGCGAGGGAUAUUUGCACUUGGUAUUUAUGCACGUCGAGUCUUGUCCCCUCUUAGAUACUGAGUUUUAUCUUGCUUUUGCCGAAAAUGGCUUUGCCACUUUUGCACCUCUUUUGGGUGGGAAGGCUUUCCCAUAUUUCGAAUUAGCAAAAUAAGACAAUUACCUCCUGCACUCUGUGCCCCAUGAAUAAGCUCAUAGGGCUUUGAAGCAAGAAGUAAUUGUUGACCUUGUCGAUCAGUGUCGUUCUUAUCGAGAGUGUGUCGUGCUUCAUCUGAAUCACAUAGCGUUAGAACUUCAAUAAAGAAAAUAAAUUAUGCAACCUUUUGCGGUUAGAUGUUAUACCCUUAGUUGCGCACUCUACUGACCUUCAGAGACGAGGAACUUCCGUGGCUGGGAUUGGCAUUGAAUGCUAGUUUGCAGCAUGCUCUUUGUCAACAUGAUAACAUUGUCAUCAAAGGUACUCCACUGACCAAAGCAGAAAGUGACAGAAACCCCCAGCUUUGGCACCAGUGAGUGUGAAUCACGAGGAUGAUGAAUCUGAAGAUGAUUUUUCCCAGCUAGCUCACAGUUGAAUGUUCUGCAUUCCCUUUUUGGAUAUGGUGUUCAGGUGGUCAACAGAUAAUGGAGACAAUGGGUAAGCAGCGAAUGCUCAGAUUGAACUAUCGCGAAUCAGCCCACUUCUCCCAUCUCCACCCUCAUCAAAGAGACCAGUUGCUGGAGAUUCAAGCUCGAUGAUUACCUCAGUGGCGAUGUAUAUAAAUACAAAGAAUGUCCCGCGACAAUGGGAUUGACACUAUCCUCAGUUCCUGAUUCUAACAGGACCUGUUCCAUGCCAUCUACUCCAUCUUAUCCCCAUUUUUUUCUUCUAUUUUGGGCUUAGCCUACAAAAUAUCUGCUUGCUUUCUCUAGGAGAAAGGCCGUUGUCCUUUCACUGUCUAUAUGACUCCAGUGAAGGUUCUCAGCUGACCAAUGCUAUCCAGCUGAUAAUUUAUUUCAUACCUAGCUGUUUUUUGCUACCUAAACAGGUGAAGAGAUUAUUCUGUUUAGCAUGCUUAGCGUACAGUCUGAGAAGAAGUUUAAUUAAGUACUGGAUUGCUUCCAUUCCCUGUGCGUCGAAAUUCAAGGAAGAAACUAUAAUCUAGUGACAUUCAUUAUUCUUGUCCUGCCUUUUGCAGCCUGGCCGCAAUUUUAAUCGGCUCCGACGAUGGCUUGAUACAUGACAUAUAACUGAUGUCAUCCUUCUUAGUCUACUAGUUUUAUUUUCAUUCACCAAUCGCAAUGGAAGCCUGGACUGUCAAGCAUUUGAGUUUUGCAGGGAAAUAUCAAAAGGUGAAACCGGUGGUUUAUGGUAUGGUGAAGUACUGGAGUAAGAUGUUUCUUUGCCCACGAGAUUAAGGCUGUUAUGAUGAGAUGCUCUGCAUCUUUGUGAAAAGUCAUAUCAACUAGUGCCAGGGGGGCUAUAGUGGCUUGGUCUGAAGUGUCUUCCCAAGUGUGAGGGAGGGCUAGGCCUUAGAAACUUACUUCUAUGAGUGAUAGUUCUAUGUGUCACAGUCCAGAGGUUUUCAACGUAUGAAGGACCGUGAUGAUUCGAGAAGACCAGGCGAGCCUUCUAGAGUUUCUCGAGUUCUCUAGAAUAUUACUAGGUACGGGCAAUAUGGGAGAUAUACACCAUUAUGGAGAAUUCUCGUAAUUAAUGCGGGUAGUUGGUAGAUGGGGAGAUAGAACCUUCACCGUUAGAUUGUAGGGAGAUAGAACCUUCUAUGGUUAUGAAUAAGGGAGUACUUGUAUAUAUAGGGAUCACUUCUCCUCAUUUGUAUCAUCCCACAAGUAAUAGAAAAUCCAGAUCUUCUCUUCUCUCUCUAAACAUCCUUGUGAGGCCUAGCGUUCCUUUACCCGUGAGAUGUGGAACACUGCUUGUAUUCUUAGUAAGUUGUGACAGUUAUAGUCCAAAUUCGGUUCCCUUUGGAUUGCUUGGGUGCAUUGUGAUCGUUUAAAGGGAUCUAGCAUCUGGAGUAGUGUUGUUAUUAAGGCUGAUAGUACUUAUUCAUUCUACCUAAGGUAUGCAAUGUGUUAUGCACCACCAACCAAUUAAUGGGAGAUAGAGCUGGAGCUGACAUAACAUUUGUAUCGGGUUUAAGGAACUAUCCUUAUGGAGUUCUACAUUUCUGUCUGAUUCAAGGCAAUACGGAAUUCAAACUUCAGUAUGCUGAUUUCGAAUAUCUUUAGCACCUUUAUUCUCCAUGGUGAGCUGGCUAGGCUCUCCUAUU